rnacentral:rRNA from 1 species
UACGUAGGGUGCGAGCGUUUGUCCGGAAUUAUUGGGCGUAAAGAGCUUGUAGGCGGUUUGUCGCGUCUGCUGUGAAAUUUCGGGGCUCAACCCCGAACUUGCAGUGGGUACGGGCAGACUAGAGUGGUGGUAGGGGAGACUGGAAUUCCUGGUGUAGCGGUGAAAUGCGCAGAUAUCAGGAGGAACACCGAUGGCGAAGGCAGGUCUCUGGGCCACUACUGACGCUGAGAAGCGAAAGCAUGGGGAGCAAACAGGAUUAGA